GAGCUGCGUCCCUGUCUCAAAGAACUAUCUGUCAUUAUCUGGUCCAAGCAGGAGCCUCGCUCAUCAAGACAGACCUACAGGAUGAUGAGAUCAACCAACAGAGUCUGGUUGAGAAACUCAGGGAGCAGAAGAUGGACCAAGAAGAGGAGGAGCUGUGCUGGCUGCAAACGGAGAACCAGCUGGCCAAGGAGGAGGUGAAGGAGGUGCUGCAGGCGUUGGAGGAGCUCGCCGUCAACUACGACCAGAAGAGCCAAGAGGUGGAGGAGAGAGAUCAGACCGACCUGCAGCUGGCAGACGAGCACAAGACGGUACAGAUAUGUUUAAAGUGUUCAUCUUGAGUUCUGCAGAAACAUACAGGGGGAGCGGCUCAGCGGUGGAGGAGGAGUUCACCGUAGCUCGGCUCUACAUCAGCAAGAUGAAGUCUGAGGUCAAGUCUCUGGUGAACCGCAGCAAACAGCUGGAGAGCACGCAGGCCGACGCCCACACAAA